CCCGCUGAACUUAAGCAUAUUAAUAAGCGGAGGAAAAGAAACUAACAAGGAUUCCCUUAGUAACGGCGAGUGAAGCGGGAAAAGCUCAAAUUUGAAAUCUCCAGGGGCAGCCUUGGCGAAUUGUAGUUAAGAGAAGCGCUUGUUGGGGCGAGGCUGGUCUAAGUGCUCUGGAACGAGACACCGGAGAGGGUGAGAGUCCCGUGUGGCCAAGAGUACCGAGCUCCUGUACAGGGCGUUUUCGACGAGUCGGGUUGUUUGGGAAUGCAGCCCAAAAUGGGUGGUAAAUUUCAUCUAAAGCUAAAUAUGGGCACGAGACCGAUAGCGAACAAGUACCGUGAGGGAAAGAUGAAAAGCACUUUGAAAAGAGAGUCAAAAGCACGUGAAGCCGUUAAAAUGGAAACGAUUAAAGUCAGCAGUGCUUGCCUGACAAUCAAUCUCAGGUGUAUGGCAGUGGAUGGCGGGUGAGGCGUGUCGAGCGUCCACGACGGCUGUUCAUGGGUGAAGCUGUAUGCUUGGGGUGCACUUGUUGGGAUUUGGGGCAGGUCAGCAUCAGUUUGAUUUGUGGGGAAAGAUAAACGGGAAGGUGGCUUGGCCAGCAAUGGUUGGGUGUUGCAGCCCGGGAAUUGAGACAUGGAACAGACUGAGGGAAUCACGGUGCAUGCCUACAAGGCUAGCGGGUAUUUCCAUCUGGUAUCUCCUUCUUUGCUGGGUUUACAGCGUAAAAAACUGUGGCUUGGUGUCGGCUUGGGUGUCAGAUUGGGGAGCUGAGCUUAAAGUGUACUUGGGAUGUUGACGAAAUGGCUUUAACCGACCCGUCUUGAAACACGG
rnacentral:rRNA from 1 species